CUCGUGCAGAACCUGAAGAAGAGCUGGCACCCCCAGACCCUGCGCAAUGUGGAGAAGGUGUGGAAAGCCGAGCAGAAGCAUGAGGCCGAGCGGAAGAAGAUGGAGGAGCCGCAGCGGGAGCGAUACGCUGAGGACACGGGCACCGUCCGGCUAGUGACUUAAACUGCAACUUUAGAAGUCUGUGAUGGGAAAUAAAACGCUCUCGUCUGCAAUAGGGAAAGAGAAGUCGGAGUGGAUGGACCAGGGAUUGUAAAGUGUGGUUGUCCCGCGAGAUUUAAUGACUCCUGUCUCCACAUCUUCUUUACUUCUUUCUUUUCUGCUGCUGAAGAUGCUUGUACGGAAGCAGGAUCUGCACUGCUGCGCACUUGACACUGCGGUCGCACAUGCAGGGAGGGCUGCAGAGUGGAUUCAUUCCAUAGCUGUGAGGCGGAACAGAGGUACCUGAACAGGAGUUUGGGAGGUGCAGGCCGUUCCACGGAGCAGGCGAGUGGUCGUGGCUUCUUCCCAGCAGACACGGAGCCCCUGGAAGGGUACGACGGGCGCUGUGGCUGUCACCGCAGCACUCCAGACCUGCGGCUGAAGUCGAUCCCUUUCUUUCCUUCCGAGAGGUGGCCAUCUUUCCAGUCCGCUGGUGAUGAAGGAGCUGUUCCUCAGACCUGGGGAGAGGUGCAGAGACCUGCUUAUGAGUAAGGAACCACCAGGAAAAUAAAGGUGUUCUCCCCUGAUCUAUUUUAACAGCUUGUGGUGGAUUUUUGAUUUGUGCAGGCUUUUUCCAAGGCAGGGCACGGCAUGAUAGCUGGACGAAACGCUUUGGGUGUUUGUUUUUCCUUGUC